rnacentral:rRNA from 1 species
UCCUGGCUCAGAACGAACGCUGGCGGCGCGUUUAAGCAUGCAAGUCGAGCGGCAAGGGCCUUCGGGCCCCUAGAGCGGCGGACGGGUGAGUAACACGUGGACAAUCUGCCCCCCGGCCCGGGAUAGCCCAGGGAAACCUGGAUUAAUACCGGAUGAGACGGGACCCGCGAUGGCGGGAUCCGGGAAAGGCGCUGCGGCGCCGCCGGGGGAUGAGUCUGCGUCCCAUUAGCUAGACGGCGGGGUAACGGCCCACCGUGGCGACGAUGGGUAGCCGGCCUGAGAGGGUGGACGGCCACAUUGGAACUGAGACACGGUCCGGACUCCUACGGGAGGCAGCAGCUAAGAAUCUUCCGCAAUGGGCGAAAGCCUGACGGAGCGACGCCCGCGUGAACGAAGAAGGCCGUGAGGUUGUAAAGUUCUUUUCGGGAGGGGGAACAACCGUGGCAGGGAAUGGCCGCGGGAUGACGUGAAUCCCGGAAUAAGCCCCGGCUAACUACGUGCCAGCAGCCGC